UCGUGCAAUACAAAAUUACUAGAAAUUGCGAAUGCAGGGUAUUUGAUUAUAAGUGGGUUACGAAUUGGAACUGAUUGGAACGCUCACUUCAUGUGCGACGGCAAAAUGUCAACAACGAUGCUUCCUAAUGUUUUUCCCUACUUUUUCUUUAAAAUAAGUUUUUCAGAUGAUAAUUGUGAAGAUAUUUUAUACUGAAUAUAAAUGAUUUUUACUAUAAUACGAGUUUCAAGAAUGCAAAUUGGAAAUGAUCUCGUUUAUCGAUUUAUUCAGCGACUCUUAUGCUUCUACUCGGCAUUCUACUUGGAAAUCUACUCGGCAUAAAACAACUACUAAUUCCACAUAUUCUAAUGCAAGAACGAAAGCUUGUUGAUGAUCCUCUGUUUUUGAGAGAUGCUAAACCAACAUAGACGCAAGUUACUUUAAUGAUCACCUUAGGCGAACGAAAUAAGCAUGUGCUCAUGUCUCACGUCGCAAGUUCGUCAAUUAAUCCUUCCAGGAUUAAAUCUUUCUUCCGCUCAUUCUAUUCGCAGCAUAUGCAAUUACAAUCGAUAUGACAUGUAAUG